CGAUGCAGCCAAGAGGUGGCUGCCGCGUCCAGUCCAUGGCGCUGGACUCCAGGCCAGGGGAGGGGGGGCAGCCAAGAAGCCCCAGGCAGAGGCUCGACUUCCUGGACAAGGGACGGGCUGGACCGUGGCCCAGCAGGAAGCAGCUUGGACUCUGAAAAUCUGAGUGAGCUCAGAGGAGACUUCCCCGGGGCCAGCAUGAACCAAAGGCCUUGGACUAGGUCCGCAUGAUCCAGGGAAAGAAGGUUGGUUGGAUGUAAGCCACCCCCUCGAGGGAGCCUACCCACGACUAAGACUAACACCAGUACCCAGAACACAGAGCCAGGAUACAGGCCAGGUGGAUCCCAGCUGAUGUUCGGUACCCUGGACUUUUCAGUUACAGAAAUUAAUCUUGAUUUCUGGA